GAAACUUGGGUUUCUUCCUUUUUGGCUCUCAGUUUUGGUUUUCUAUUUCAUCAGAAUCUCAGGGUACGUUGUUUCUUUAAGGAAAGUUUGUUUCUUGAAUUGUUUAUAGUGUUUCCUUGCUUUAUUCAAGAAUUGGGUUUGCUUGCUUGCUUUUAGUUUUGAUUCUUUCUUGCCAGUAUCAGUGCUUUUUACUUGUGGAUUUUAGUGUUUUGUGCUCUGAAUUUCUUUUAUUAUUUGAUUUCUGUGUGCUUUAUAGUCUUUAUUAUCAACUAUUGGAUCUAUUACUUGGAUCAUUUUGUGCUUAAAUUUAUAAUAUCAAUUGUUGAUUAUUGGAAACAGGAACAUUCGAUGUAUGCUUUGUGUGUUUCAUGUUCAAGACUUGUGCUUUGGGCGGUAGAAACUGUACUAGGACUCUUAACUGCAACUGUCAGUUAGCGUAGUGCUUAUUUUCCGGGUUUUUGGACAUUUUGCUAGGACAUAUAUUUUGUGCUCAUUUAGCUGAUAGACGAUUUCGUUAACCUUUAAUAUGGUGUAGCAAUCGUUGGCCUUUCUCUCAGGAUUGCAAUGAACAGGGAAUCAAAUUGUCGUGUGCUGCUUUCAGUUGAAGUAUUUGACAUUUUUUUCAAAGCUUGUUUCUUGAUAAUGUGGACAAGUCUGCUCUUAUUGUUGAAGUCCAAUAAUCAAUUAGGAUAUUUUUUACGUUCAAGACAUGUAAUUUGCUAUAGAAAUUGCACUAAAACUUUAUUAGGGAUCUUGAAUUUGGACAUCUUGUUUUUGCAUAUGGAUUCUAAGACGAACGUUUACCUUGAUUCUGGAGAUGAGGUUUUCUGAACGCAAGCAUUUGCACACCUGAUUUGUGCUGUGUGCAAGAAAAAUGGGUGAUUGGUAUAACUGGUGUGAUCUUUAGGGGGUGUUUGGCAGGGGAUUUAUGGUGGUUAAAUUUUACCCUUGUCAUCUUAAGUAUGAUAGGAUCAAUUUUUGAGUGGGCUUAACUAUUAGGGAGGGCAGCUAGUAUACCCUGAGUUGGUGUUUUGGAGGGUAAAUUUUAACCUUUGAG
rnacentral:lncRNA from 1 species